rnacentral:rRNA from 1 species
GAUGAACGCUGGCGGCGUGCCUAAUACAUGCAAGUCGAGCGAACAGAUGAGGAGCUUGCUCCUCUGACGUUAGCGGCGGACGGGUGAGUAACACGUGGAUAACCUACCUAUAAGACUGGGAUAACUUCGGGAAACCGGAGCUAAUACCGGAUAAUAUAUUGAACCGCAUGGUUCAAUAGUGAAAGACGGUUUUGCUGUCACUUAUAGAUGGAUCCGCGCCGCAUUAGCUAGUCGGUAAGGUAACGGCUUACCAAGGCGACGAUGCGUAGCCGACCUGAGAGGGUGAUCGGCCACACUGGAACUGAGACACGGUCCAGACUCCUACGGGAGGCAGCAGUAGGGAAUCUUCCGCAAAGGGCGAAAGCCUGACGGAGCAACGCCGCGUGAGUGAUGAAGGUCUUCGGAUCGUAAAACUCUGUUAUUAGGGAAGAACAAAUGUGUAAGUAACUAUGCACGUCUUGACGGUACCUAAUCAGAAAGCCACGGCUAACUACGUG